UGGGGAAUUUUGCACAAUGGGGGAAACCCUGAUGCAGCGACGCCGCGUGAUUUAGAAGGCCUUCGGGUUGUAAAAAUCUUUUUUACGGGAUGAAAAUGACAGUACCGUAAGAAUAAGGUCCGGCUAAAUACGUGCCAGCAGCCGCGGUAAUACGUAUGGACCGAGCGUUUUCCGGAAUCAUUGGGCGGAAAGGGUACGUAGGCGGCCUAAUAAGUUAGAAGUGAAAGAAUAUAGCUCAACUAUAUAAAGCUUUUAAAACUGUUAGGCUUGAGAGAUGAAAGGGAAAGUGGAAUUCCUAGUGUAGCGGUGAAAUGCGCAGAUAUUAGGAAGAAUACCGGUGGCGAAGGCGACUUUCUGGUCAUCAUCUGACGCUGAGGUACGAAAGCGUGGGUAGCAAACAGG
rnacentral:rRNA from 1 species